rnacentral:rRNA from 1 species
UCAGGCCUAACACAUGCAAGUCGAACGGUAGAGGGGCAACCCUCGAGAGUGGCGAACGGGUGAGUAAAGCAUCGGAACGUACCCAGUUGUGGGGGAUAGCCCGGCGACAGCCGGAUUAAUACCGCAUACGCACUGAGGUGGAAAGCGGGGGACUCGCAAGGGCCUCGCGCAAUUGGAGCGGCCGAUGUCAGAUUAGGUAGUUGGUGGGGUAAAGGCCUACCAAGCCGACGAUCUGUAGCUGGUCUGAGAGGAUGACCAGCCACACUGGGAGUGAGACACGGCCCAGACUCCUACGGGAGGCAGCAGUGGGGAAUUUUG